rnacentral:rRNA from 1 species
UGCAGUCGAGGGGCAGCAUUUCAGUUUGCUUGCAAACUGGAGAUGGCGACCGGCGCNCGGGUGAGUAACACGCUAUCCAACCUGCCGAUAACUCGGGGAUAGCCUUUCGAAAGAAAGAUUAAUACCCGAUGGUAUAAUCAGACCGCAUGGUCUUNUUAUUAAAGAAUUUCGGUUAUCGAUGGGGAUGCGUUCCAUUAGGCAGUUGGUGAGGUAACGGCUCACCAAACCUUCGAUGGAUAGGGGUUCUGAGAGGAAGGUCCCCCACAUUGGAACUGAGACACGGUCCAAACUCAUACGGGAGGCAGCAGUGAGGAAUAUUGGUCAAUGGGCGCAGGCCUGAACCAGCCAAGUAGCGUGAAGGAUGACUGCCCUAUGGGUUGUAAACUUCUUUUAUAUGGGAAUAAAGUUUUCCACGUGUGGAAUUUUGUAUGUACCAUAUGAAUAAGGAUCGGCUAACUCCGUGCCAGCAGCCCGCGGUAAUACGGAGGAUCCGAGCGUUAUCCGGAUUUUAUUGGGUUUUAAAGGGAGCGUAGGUGGACAGUUAAGUCAGUUGUGAAAGUUUGCGGCUCAACCGUAAAAUUGCAGUUGAUACUGGCUGUCUUGAGUACAGUAGAGGUGGGCGGAAUUCGUGGUGUAGCGGUGAAAUGCUUAGAUAUCACGAAGAACUCCGAUUGCGAAGGCAGCUCACUGGACUGCAACUGACACUGAUGCUCGAAAGUGUGGGUAUCAAACAGGAUUAGAUACCCUGGUAGUCCACACAGUAAACGAUGAAUACUCGCUGUUUGCGAUAUACAGUAAGCGGCCAAGCGAAAGCAUUAAGUAUUCCACCUGGGGAGUACGCCGGCAACGGUGAAACUCAAAGGAAUUGACGGGGGCCCGCACAAGCGGAGGAACAUGUGGUUUAAUUCGAUGAUACGCGAGGAACCUUACCCGGGCUUAAAUUGCAUUUGAAUAAUUUGGAAACAGGUUAGCCGUAAGGCAAAUGUUGAAGGUGCUGCAUGGUUGUCGUCAGCUCGUGCCGUGAGGGGUCGGCUUAAGUGCCAUAACGAGCGCAACCCUUAUCUUUAGUUACUAACAGGUCAUGCUGAGGACUCUAGAGAGACUGCCGUCGUAAGAUGUGAGGAAGGUGGGGAUGACGUCAAAUCAGCACGGCCCUUACGUCCGGGGCUACACACGUGUUACAAUGGGGGGUACAGAAGGCAGCUACCUGGUGACAGGAUGCUAAUCCCAAAAGCCUCUCUCAGUUCGGAUCGAAGUCUGCAACCCGACUUCGUGAAGCUGGAUUCGCUAGUAAUCGCGCAUCAGCCAUGGCGCGGUGAAUACGUUCCCGGGCCUUGUACACAACGCCCGUCAAGCCAUGAAAGCCGGGGGUACCUGAAGUACGAACCGCAAGGAGCUCCUAGGAAAC